rnacentral:rRNA from 1 species
UACGUAGGGUGCGAGCGUUAAUCGGAUUUACUGGGCGUAAAGCGUGCGCAGGCGGCCCGUUAAGACAGGUGUGAAAUCCCUGGGCUCAACCUAGGAAUUGCGCUUGUGACUGGCGGGCUCGAGUACGGUAGAGGGGGGUGGAAUUCCUGGUGUAGCAGUGAAAUGCGUAGAGAUCAGGAGGAACACCGAUGGCGAAGGCAGCACCCUGGGCCUGUACUGACGCUCAUGCACGAAAGCGUGGGGAGCAAACAGG